rnacentral:lncRNA from 10 species
CUCUGGGCUGCCCCUUAAGGAUAAAAGUAGAGAAGGAAGGGGAGAAAAAGGUAGACAUGAAGGAGAAAGAAAAGGAUAAGGGAGAAGAAAGAAAGGACAGAGAGAAAAAAAUGAACAAUCAGAGUAAAGGCAGCAAGCAUUCUCUAACUCCUGACCGCGAGUGAUCCUCCUGCCUCAACCUCCCAAAGGGCUGGGACUACAGGCGUGAGCCACUGCGCAGGGCCUCAACCAGCGUUCUCUAGAGCGGUGGAUCCCAAAUGCCAUCUGAGGACCAGCAACAGCAGCAGCAUCCGGUUAAUGGAGUCAUGGUGACACUGAAAAUUCUUCCUGUGUUGGCAUCUGACAGAGGAUUUGAAACCGAAUGCUGAACUCAUGUUAGGAAAGUGAAGCAGCAGGUUCUCUGGAGAGAGAUGGUCUCUGCAUAGCAGAAAUGGAGUUCCCCCAAGUGAAGCGAGUCUGGCCGCUGGGGCGCUGGCUUCCUCACUGAGACACCAGAGAGGGAGCCUUCUUCCACAUUGUCAUCUGAAGAUUUCUCAUCAUUAGACUCUCUCAGCGCACCCAGAAUGGGACAUGGUGGGUCUGCAGAAAAGGAAACAGUGUUUCCAGAUCCUUCUAGACACACGCUUAGUGCAUUAAAGGAAAAUCAUUCGCAGUCUAAAUGGGUUAAAAGUACUUCUGCAAUAUAAAUGCAGUUUUAACGGUUUUAAAGCUAAGAAAUAUGUUCAUUUUUCUUCUCAAGGCAUAUUAAAAUUAAAUUUAAAAAGUCAAUUCUGGACAAUCAGACUUAUUGCAAUAAAAAGACUAUCAGGAAUUUAUUACCUCACACAGUGAGACACAACAUGAGAGUCAGAGAGAAAAUCUCGACAGUCUUUGGUUUGGUUCCUGGUUCCAAGUGUUCUGAGGCCCAGUCAUAUUUCCGCUGAGUUUCGUAAGACACUCACAUAU